ACAAUUAACCAUCAGAACAAUAAUAUGUUAAAUAUAAAUGACUGCUACUAAUAUAAGGCAUAGAAAAUAGGGUGUAUAAAAUUUUCCAUUUACCCUAAAAAUUUACUUCGCUUGCGAACAUCGUUGGCUCAGGGACCUUAAAGUAUUGGUUUCCGAAAUGCCUGCCCUGUAUCCGCUUUUGACAGUUACUUGACUUCAGUUACUAACUAAUCCUCUUUGUUUUAGUGACUUGGAUGCGCAAGAACGACCACACAAUAGCGAUUAUCAACAACUAUACUUUCUUUUGCGGUUUGCGCAAAACGACAGAACAUGUGAUAUGGCAAUGCUCUCAUGAUAAAUGCCAGGCAAAUUUCGCCACUAGAGACAGGGUUAUGGUCAGCAUGAAUAUUUUGCACAAUCAUUCGUUACCCAGCAACGGAGAAGUGAAGUUACGACGUCGUCGUGUCACUACGGACCAGUUGGAGGCCAUGUUCCCAAUUUUAAAUUCGAACAAGGAAUUUGCCCUUGGUUAUAACAAAUCUGCAGAAGCGCGUGUGCUUUCAAAGCGGAUGUGGAGAUCCGUUGCAGAGGCGCUUAACUUUCAAAAAGAAGGUUCUGUUAAGGACUGGAGGGGAUGGUCGAACCUACUGGGUUGAUUACAAGGCGAAAUUAAAGAAGAGAGCUGCAGCUCUACGUACAUCCUGUAGCCGAAAAAGGAGAGGGCUGUCAGAGGACGUCCCACUUAACGAAUUGGAGAAGAAAUUUUUGGGACUUAUAGGCGAUGGAGUCGAACGCGGUUUGCCGCGUAAACAAGGCCGUCGAGCGGGUGGUGACAGCACUCCGACGGGUGAUACCUGAAUGGUCAAAAUAUGAAAGAGAACUGGAUUAAAGGAGAAUCUAUCUAAGUCAUUAUAUCUCAUAUAUAGCAUUUUUUGGUAUACAAUAUCGUAAAUUAAAUUAUUGUAGCGAUGAGGUAAUGUUUCAUUUAAAUUAUCUUGUAUAGUUCGUUCCGAACGAAAUUCUGAAAUAUUCCAUUACUUUAGAUUGGAAGUACCUUUGUACAUAUUCCCGUUGUAUUGCAGACUCUUCCAUCGGUAAUUUUGGUUCUAGUAUUAAUCGGUGAAAAUAAUUGUAUCCAUCUUUAUUCAUUUAUAUUAUUUUGUUUUUAG
rnacentral:misc_RNA from 1 species